AUGCUGUUCUUUUUCAGUCUGUGGCUUAUUUCCCUUUUAACAGGUGAUGCCUCUAGUGAGGGAAUAACACCAGUCUCUCUUCAUGUAUUUGUCUCAGAAGGUAAACCAAUCACCCUGUCCUGCAAUUACAAUGGGUCAUCUGGUACAAAUGCUCUCCACUGGUAUCGUCAGUACCCGGGAUCCAGACCAGACUUCCUGUAUCUAGUUAAUGAAGCUGCAUUUAAGCAACCAGCUGUUCCUCCAAUUCCUGGAAUAUCCGCUACAUUAAAUGAGGAGAAAAAUCGUGUGGAUCUGGAGAUCAAUGGCACUGCCUUAAAUGAUUCUGCUCUGUACUACUGUGCCCUGCAGCCCACAGUGACAGGAAACAACACAUACACUUAUCCUGGAUCCAAACCUGAAUUUGUGCUCCUUGUCAUGGAGUCAUCUGCAAAACAUGUAAAAUAUGCAGAGCCCCGCAUCCCAGAAAUGGAUGGGAAAAUGAGUAUGAAAGACAAGCAAGUGGAUCUGAAGAUCACCUCAGCUGAAGUGUCAGACUCUGCAAUGUAUUACUGUGCCCUGGAGCCCACAGUGACAGGAAACACAUCAACACUAUUGAACAAGUAA